UCCGGAGUCCUUCCGUUAUGAUGGAACACCUUUCCGGAGUCCUUCCGUUAUGAUGGAACACCUUUCCGGAGUCCUUCCGUUAUGAUGGAACACCUUGCUCAGUCUUGAUACUGGAGCAUUGGCUUGGUUGGCCUCAACUCGGGACCAUGCUGAGGUUCAUGGCACAUGCUGACGCCAGAGACCGUGUGGUCUAUGCUGUUUCUAGAAACCAAGUGGAAGUCCAUAAUCCAUGCUCCUGCUGACUGUAAGGGCCAAGGAAGCUUCUUCUGUCAAGGUAGCUUGAGUCACAUGCAAACAAAGGAGCCCUCACCAAUGCAAGUACCUUGCAGUUAUUACAAGGAUUAAAUAAAGCAAUGCAUUCAAGUGCCUGCCACAGUACAAAGGCUCCAGACCUGACUGCUAUUAUGACUGAGGAUUUUCUCCAUCUGGAUGCAUGUGGUUGAUUUGCCCUUUGAUGCCUUGGAGGGACCUCAGAAGAAACAGCUAUUUGGAAACUUUUAUUGCAUAUGCUUCAGGGAUAUUGUCGGCUGCUUCGUUCAGAACCCCACCUACAAAGACACAUUAAGACAUUUUUUCUCAGUCUUAUAUGGGAAGGAAAACUUGACUUUCCCUAAAGUGAUAAUUUCCCAUUGUUUUACAUCCCCAUCAGCGAAGACUGCACUCACCUUGCAGGAGUUGGAGACAUGACUCUAGGCAUAGUAAACACACUUUCUGCUAUUUUCUUUUAAAAAUUCAUGAGAAUAAAAAAUCUUCUUCAUGACAUA